UUCAACUUUUUUUUGAAUGGAGGAAGAGAAACUUCUGGAAGACCAUUGAGGACACCUACCUCAUCUACAACAUACUGCCCCUUCGGCUCAGUGUUUAAAUGCAGCCCCCAUCAGAAGUCGGACUUCACAAUUGGACUGACUUUGGAGGAACACAGAGC